rnacentral:rRNA from 1 species
AUUGAACGCUGGCGGCAGGCCUAACACAUGCAAGUCGAGCGAGCGGCGGACGGGUGAGUAAUGUCUGGGAAACUGCCUGAUGGAGGGGGGUAACUACUGGAAACGGUAGCUAAUACCGCAUACUAUCAGAUGUGCCCAGAUUGGAUUAGCAAGUAGGUAGGGUAACGGCUCACCUAGGCGACGAUGCAUAGCUGGUCUGAGAGGAUGACCAGCCACACUGGAACUGAGACACGGUCCAGACUCCUACGGGAGGCAGCAGUAGGGAAUAUUGCACAAUGGGCGCAAGCCUGAUGGAGCCAUGCCGCGUGUGUGAAGAAGGCCUUCGGGUUGUAAAGCACUUUCAGCGGGGAGGCGUUACCCGCACAGAAAGCACCGGCUAACUCCGUGCCAGCAGCCGCGGUAAUUC